rnacentral:rRNA from 1 species
UACGAAGGGGGGCUAGCGUUGCUCGGAAUCACUGGGCGUAAAGGGUGCGUAGGCGGGUCUUUUAAGUCAGGGGUGAAAUCCUGGAGCUCAACUCCAGAACUGCCUUUGAUACUGAGGAUCUUGAGUUCGGGAGAGGUGAGUGGAACUGCGAGUGUAGAGGUGAAAUUCGUAGAUAUUCGCAAGAACACCAGUGGCGAAGGCGGCUCACUGGCCCGACACUGACGCUGAGGCACGAAAGCGUGGGGAGCAAACAGG